AGAACGAACGCUGGCGGCAUGCCUAAUACAUGCAAGUCGAACGAACUCUUCGGAGUUAGUGGCGCACGGGUGCGUAACGCGUGGGAAUCUGCCCCUUGGUUCGGAAUAACAGUUGGAAACGAUUGCUAAUACCGGAUGAUGACGAAAGUCCAAAGAUUUAUCGCCAAGGGAUGAGCCCGCGUAGGAUUAGCUAGUUGGUGAGGUAAAGGCUCACCAAGGCAACGAUCCUUAGCUGGUCUGAGAGGAUGAUCAGCCACACUGGGACUGAGACACGGCCCAGACUCCUACGGGAGCAGCAGUAGGGAAUAUUGGACAAUGGGCGAAAGCCUGAUCCAGCAAUGCCGCGUGAGUGAUGAAGGCCUUAGGGUUGUAAAG
rnacentral:rRNA from 1 species